CAGACAGGCUUGCUGAGUUGAGUGGAGAGGAACCUGAUGAGGAUGAGGUUCAACAAGAGCAAAUGUGGAGUCCUGCAACUGGGGAGGAAUAACUACAGGCAUCAGUGCAGGAGGAAAACAACUGAGAAAGGACGUGCUUCAGUUUAAGAUACAGUCAGUUCCAGAGCUGAGCCCUGCUGCACAUAAGAGAAUCUUGGUUGAAGAAUGAAAUUUUAAAACAAAGCUGAGAAAUGUAUGCUGCCCCUUAUAUAUAAUUUCCCCUUGGUAAAAAUAACACUCAGGCACACAUUCAAGUAAAUGUAAUCGUUGAUGAGAAUCUCUUCUGGCUUUCAAAACAUCAGCAAGAGGAUACUCAGUCUGUGCAUUCUGGGUCUGCGCUGAUGUAUGGCCUUCUCAAAAUUAAUUUGUGUGGUUGCUGCCA
rnacentral:lncRNA from 1 species